rnacentral:rRNA from 1 species
UACGUAGGGGGCAAGCGUUGUCCGGAUUUACUGGGCGUAAAGGGCGUGCAGGCGGUCUGUUAAGUGCAGGGUGAAAGCUCCCGGCUCAACUGGGAGAGGUCCUUGCAUACUGGCGGACUUGAGGGGGGUAGAGGAAAGUGGAAUUCCCGGUGUAGUGGUGAAAUGCGCAGAUAUCAGGAGGAACACCGGUGGCGAAGGCGGGUCUCUGGGCCGAUACUGACGCUGAGGAGCGAAAGCGUGGGGAGCGAACAGG